rnacentral:misc_RNA from 1 species
UGGUUCUGGCAUCGAUGAAGAACGCAGCGAAAUGCGAUAAGUAAUGUGAAUUGCAGAAUUCCGUGAAUCAUCGAAUCUUUGAACGCACAUUGCACCCUCUGGUAUUCCGGGGGGUAUGCCUGUUCGAGCGUCAUUACAACCCUCAAGCUCUGCUUGGUACUGGAUGCAAUUGCUAAAUUCAUCUCAAAAUCAGUGGUGGUGCCGUCUGGCUUCCAGCGUAGUAGUCAUCUCGCUGUGGGCGUCCAGGCUGCUGCUUCCAGCAAACAACACACUAGGUUGACCUCGGAUCAGGUAGGGGUACCCGCUGA